rnacentral:rRNA from 1 species
UCGAGAAUAAUUCGCAAUGGACGAAAGUCUGACGAUGCGACGCCGCGUGAACGAUGAAGGCCUUCGGGUUGUAACGUUCUGUUGCCUUGGAACAAGAGUGAUUGUCAAAUAGACGGUCACGAUGAGGGUACAAGGAGAGGAAGCACCGGCUAAUUCCGUGCCAGCAGCUGCGGUAAUACGGAAGGUGCAAGCGUUAGUCGGAAUUACUGGGCGUAAAGGGUGCGUAGGCGGUUAUAUAAGUCGUUUGUGAAAUUCCGGGGCUUAACUUCGGAGCUGCAAUCGAAACUAUAUAACUAGAGGAAAGGCGGAGAAAAUGGAAUUCCAUAUGUAGCGGUGAAAUGCGUAGAUAUAUGGAAGAACACCUGUGGCGAAAGCGGUUUUCUAGCUUAAUCCUGACGCUGAGGCACGAAAGCAAGGGGAGCAAACA